rnacentral:snRNA from 2 species
AUACCUUUCUCUGCCUUUUGGCUAAGAUCAAGCGUAGUAUCUGUUCUUAUCAUCUGAUAACUAGGGUUUUCAAGUGUCGCUUGGGUAUUGCACUAUUGUCCUAGUCUGGCGCACCCCAA